UACGUAGGGAGCAAGCGUUGUCCGGAAUCAUUGGGCGUAAAGCGCGUGUAGGCGGUUACAUAAGUCUGUUGUGAAAGUCGGAGGCUCAACCUUCGAAAGCCGAUGGAUACUGUGUGACUUGAGUACGGAAGAGGAGAGUGGAAUUCCUGGUGUAGCGGUGAAAUGCGCAGAUAUCAGGAGGAACACCAACGGCGAAGGCAGCUCUCUGGGACGUUACUGACGCUGAGACGCGAAAAGCGUGGGGAGCAAACAGG
rnacentral:rRNA from 1 species